AUGCUUUGGAAAUCCCCUGAUGGAUACACAGCUCCAGUUCCUGAAGUCAUCCAGGAGGCAGCAAAGGCUGAGCAGGAGUUAGAGACACCAAAGGCUCAGCCAUCUUACUGGGGAGAGAGGAGUAAUAGCCUGUCUAGGGAUGGGCUACCCGCUCCUCCAAACCACCCCCAAAUUAAAGGAAGACCAGCUGCCGUAUCAGGAGCAGUGAUCCUGAGAUGCCCAAAUCAAGAAUCUAAGCUCUGUCUUCAACAAUCACAGGAAUGGGGUGAUCAACUUGCCCUGGUUUGCCUGGAGCCAACCUGCUUUUAAAGCUGAAAAUCCCAUAUCCUGGGAAUCUUCCUCAUUCCCGGCCAAACUUGCAUCAUGGUUUAUCCUACAUGUGAGGGAGUUUGGAAGUGGACUCGCCAGCCCCAGGCAAGCCUUCAGCCCAGCUGACAACCUGGCAAGCCCCAGCUGACAACCCGACUGCAACCUCACGAGCAAUUCUGGGCCAGAACCACCCAGUUAAGCUGCUUCCAGGAUUCCUGGUUCUCAGAGACCAUGAGGUAGGGAAGAUCCACUGGAGAAGGGAAUGGCUCUCCACUCCAGUAUUCUUGCCUGUAGAAUUCCAUGGACAGAGCUACAGCCCAUGGGGUUGCAAAGAGUGGGACAUGACUUAACUGAACAAAAACAUUGAUUUAAGCAACAGGGAACCUAUUGAAAGGAGUUCAGGUAGCUCAUAACCCUCUGAAAAGUUGAAGAACCAAGUGCAGGGUUCGCAGAGACAGAGUCACAGCCAAGACCAUGCCACAGAGCCCGUGCGGACGCUGCUCGAUACUGCCGAGAGGCACUAUAGCUUGUACCACCAGCCCCUGCAGCCCUUCCGUAUCCAGCUACAGGCACUCCUGCCCUCGAGAACUGACUCUAGUGCACCCCGACUCUCACCAGAAAGGACCGUCCAUGGUCCCUGUCUCUACAUGUCACCAGAUUUCAGUCCAAAGGUGGGGGAUCUCAUCUAAUUGGCUGAGGCUCCAUCAUAUGUCUGUACCUUACCUUUGAGCUUCUACAACAAAAUACCGCUGGCAACUUAGAAACCACAGAAAAUUAUGCCUCACAGUUCUGGAGGCUGGAAGUCCAAGAUCAGAUUGGGUCUAGUGAGAAUCUGCUUCCUGCUUCUUGAAUGGCGGUCUUCUGUUUGUGUUCUAUGGUGGGAAGGUCAGGAGAGCUCUCGAGUCUCUUUUCUAAGGGUGCAAAUCUUAUUUAUAAGGACCCCACCUUCAUGACCUAUGCAUCCCCUGAAAGGGGAUUUUUGAUGUUUUCAGAUUCUCUA
rnacentral:lncRNA from 1 species